rnacentral:rRNA from 1 species
UCCUUUAAAGAAAGCGUAAUAGCUCACUGGUCUAGUGAUUUUGCGCGGAAAAUAUAACGGGGCUAAAGUAAGUACCGAAGCUGUAGACUUGCGCACAACUUAGAUUAUUUAAGUUUAGAAUAUGAGAAACUAAGUUAUAUGUUUAGUUAUAUUUUUACUGAUUUUUAUAGAGUAAAGAUAGAAAUAAAACUUAGUAAAAUCAGUAAAAAUAUUCUUAGACUAAAGUUAAGUAGUUUAAGUUGUGUGCAAGUGGUAGGAGAGCGUUCUAUUUGCGUCGAAGGUAUACCGGUAAGGAGUGCUGGAGCGAAUAGAAGUGAGCAUGCAGGCAUGAGUAGCGAUAAUUAAUGUGAGAAUCAUUAACGCCGUAAACCCAAGGUUUCCUACGCGAUGCUCGUCAUCGUAGGGUUAGUCGGGUCCUAAGUCGAGUCCGAAAGGGGUAGACGAUGGCAAAUUGGUUAAUAUUCCAAUACCAACAUUAGUGUGCGAUGGAAGGACGCUUAGGGCUAAGGGGGCUAGCGGAUGGAAGUGCUAGUCUAAGGUCGUAGGAGGUUAUACAGGCAAAUCCGUAUAACAAUACUCCGAGAACUGAAAGGCUUUUUGAAGUCUUCGGAUGGAUAGAAGAACCCCUGAUGCCGUCGAGCCAAGAAAAGUUUCUAAGUUUAGCUAAUGUUGCCCGUACCGUAAACCGACACAGGUGGGUGGGAUGAGUAUUCUAAGGCGCGUGGAAGAACUCUCUUUAAGGAACUCUGCAAAAUAGCACCGUAUCUUCGGUAUAAGGUGUGGUUCGCUUCGUAUUAGGAUUUACUCCGAAAGCGAAGAAACUUACAACAAAGAGUCCCUCCCGACUGUUUACCAAAAACACAGCACUCUGCUAACUCGUAAGAGGAUGUAUAGGGUGUGACGCCUGCCCGGUGCUCGAAGGUUAAUUGAUGGGGUUAGCAUUAGCGAAGCUCUUGAUCGAAGCCCGAGUAAACGGCGGCCGUAACUAUAACGGUCCUAAGGUAGCGAAAUUCCUUGUCGGUUAAAUACCGACCUGCAUGAAUGGCGUAACGAGAUGGGAGCUGUCUCAAAGAGGGAUCCAGUGAAAUUGUAGUGGAGGUGAAAAUUCCUCCUACCCGCGGCAAGACGGAAAGACCCCGUGGACCUUUACUACAGCUUGACACUGCUAUUUGGAUAAGAAUGUGCAGGAUAGGUGGGAGGCUUUGAGUAUAUGACGCCAGUUGUAUAUGAGCCAUUGUUGAGAUACCACUCUUUCUUAUUUGGGUAGCUAACCAGCUUGAGUUAUCCUCAAGUGGGACAAUGUCUGGUGGGUAGUUUGACUGGGGCGGUCGCCUCCCAAAUAAUAACGGAGGCUUACAAAGGUUGGCUCAGAACGGUUGGAAAUCGUUCGUAGAGUAUAAAGGUAUAAGCCAGCUUAACUGCAAGACAUACAAGUCAAGCAGAGACGAAAGUCGGUCUUAGUGAUCCGGUGGUUCUGUGUGGAAGGGCCAUCGCUCAAAGGAUAAAAGGUACCCCGGGGAUAACAGGCUGAUCUCCCCCAAGAGCUCACAUCGACGGGGAGGUUUGGCACCUCGAUGUCGGCUCAUCGCAUCCUGGGGCUGGAGCAGGUCCCAAGGGUAUGGCUGUUCGCCAUUUAAAGCGGUACGCGAGCUGGGUUCAGAACGUCGUGAGACAGUUCGGUCCCUAUCUGCCGUGGGCGUAAGAAGAUUGAAGAGAUUUGACCCUAGUACGAGAGGACCGGGUUGAACAAACCACUGGUGUAGCUGUUGUUCUGCCAAGAGCAUCGCAGCGUAGCUAAGUUUGGAAAGGAUAAACGCUGAAAGCAUCUAAGCGUGAAGCCAACUCUAAGAUGAAUCUUCUCUAAGCUCUCUAGAAGACUACUAGUUUGAUAGGCUGGGUGUGUAAUGGAUGAAAGUCCUUUAGCUGACCAGUACUAAUAGAGCGUUUGGCUUAUCUUUAAUAAAGCAU